GCUAUUCAUUCGCCGGCAUUUGGAAACUAGGGCUCCAAACUGGAGGGCUCCGGCAGGACAGGCAGAUCCCUCACAGCGGAGGCAGAGCACUACAGCAACUACAACUCCAGUCCCAUACCCCAGAGAACUCUUCUUUGAGGACACUCAACCACAGCUCCUUCCUUCAGGAUAUUAAGAUCAGCACCUUGGAUCCCAUCACAGAUGUGAUUCCUGCUCUAGCAUUCCAGCCUUUGAGAUUCCACAAGGGCGACCAAGCAGAAAAUCUGUGGCAACAAACAACUGUAAAUUGUUGAAAGCUGUGUGAACAGAUUAUCUCAAACUAUGUUAACUAUUUUCACCACUUUACUUUUAUUUUUGUUUCUAAUACUUUAUUUUUUGCACAGUUUCUCAUAGCUCCUGUGUUUGUACUUAAAUUUUUGCAAAACAGAAUGUUUUAUUUAACCAUUGUUUUUAUGUAAAUUUUGUCAUAAAGAGCACAGCCUGCAAAUCACAGAAUACAGUCCUAAAUGGACAGUACGCUAGCUGAAAUAGGCAAUAAAACAACUAGAGCUUAACCAUAUUCUAUAAAGUGAAUGAACAUUGUCCACAACAUAAAAUGUUCUGUAAUAGCACACAAAGUAUGAAUGAAGCAGACCCCAUUCUGUGAAAACACAGUCCCCACACUUAAAAUAUUUCAUGAAAUAAUCCAUAAUAUUUUCAAGACAUAAUCCAUUGAAAGUUAUCCAAAGCAUAAUAAAAACAUAUGGUACUAGAAUUCAAAAUUAGCCCCCGUCCUUAAAAUAGGAACACAAAAUAUUGUUAAUCACAUGCCCUAAGUGACUGUCAUUUUGGAGAGUAUAUCCCAGUGGCUGUUCAUAGGGCUCUAAAAAUCCAGACUUUUGUCUCUUUUUGCUCUGCCAAAGAUUGUACAACAUACAGCAUGCAGUUAUAGUUUAAGACAGUUACGGCUCAGCAGCCUCUCUGAGGCAUGAGGCAGCACCAUCUGACUAUCAUCAUGGAGCUGCUUACAGGGCAAUUACAGUAUUUAUGUGUAUAGCAGACAACACUGGUCACAAGACAGUCCCCCAAUAAUUAGAUUCUAUAUAUGGAAAAUGUAUAUUUUUUUUAUAAUUUUCCAGGUAUAGAAUCUAAUUAUCAGAGGUUUAUCUGGAAUUUGUUCCCCCCCCCUCCCCCCCCCCCCACCUCCGCAGCAAGGAAAAUGAAUCUGGGGGAUCAUGUAGCGCUUUGCUUUCUGCUUUCCCCCAGCUUUUUCCCCUGGCAGCCACUUCCCCCCUCCUUACUAUUAGACCAUGCUCUCUCUGAGAACAUGGAAGUGAGGAGCAAAUUUGAAAGCAAUAACCUUGAAAUUAAACAUAGAUGUAGUGUUUUACAUAUAGUACACAUGCAUUUAAUUGAUCCAGAAUUGAGGCAAGUUACCUUUUUCUGAAAUUGCUGCAAGUUUUAAAACAGGUACCCCAUAAACACUUUUGAGCAGCACUUGGGUACCUACUUGUACAGUAUGCAUGUGUGCGCUUCAGAUAUCACCCCAUAAAGGAUCCAUGUUCUAAUUAGUCCCCACUCAUGACUGGACCAGGUGUUUUUAUCACAAGACCUGGGAUACUCCAAAAUUUUAUUAUGUAGAUUAGGUGCAGGCCGGACAAUCUGAUCUAGCUUCACUUCAUGGAUUAUUGGGGCCACACUAAUCAUAUGCACCAGGUUGAGAGGGGGUGGCAGGGGGGAUUCUUAGUGAACAUUAUUCAAUGUCAUGUCUCACCAUAACUUGAAAAAAGAGUCAGCAGUAAUGGGGACUGUGUUAAUGGGCACUGCCAUAUGUCUUAUUCACCUGGGCUACAUUAACUGAUUCUUGUGGUAGGUUCCCAUCAGCAUGGUUGCCUGAUGUGGGCCAUAUGUUUUAUAGUAAUGCUCAGUGUUGGCUGCAUUUAAACAACUUCAUAACUGGUUUCCAUUGCUGAGCACAUGCUGCCUUUCACAGCAGUUUAAUGAAAAACAACAUGCUUAGUGAGAUUUCCUUGUAUGCAGUCAUAAGAUAUCAGGAUUUUUUUCUCCAUACCAAUUGGGGGGAGACCUCAUCUUGUAUGCAAGUAAAUCUAGUAAAAAGUUAUUUUCUAUGA